UUGAACCAACAUAUGAUAAAACAUCAGAGCACUGCAAUUUUGUUAAAGUACAUCCAGAAUCCUUGAGGAGGAGGAGACGUUCAGUAUUGAGGAACUGUGGUUCAGUCAGACUCCUCCUGCAGGUCUCUGAUAUGUGUCAGUGUUAGUACAACUUUAUCAAAGAGAGGCUGAAACAAGAGUCUGCUGUAGAUUUCAACAAGUUCAUUUUAUCUAAAGUAUUAUUUAUCAAUUUCUGUGAUGGCAAACUGGCAAAGAAUUGUAGUCUUCUUCAUCACAUAUUUCUGGGGAUGUGAUUCUCUGGACAGAGUUAAACAAAAUCAGAGAGUUCAAACUGCUGUUGAAGGUGCAGCUGUAACAAUCAACUGUCAAUAUGAAACCACUGAUGUUUCACCAUAUCUGUUCUGGUACCAGCAAAAAGUGAAUGGAUUUCCAGAAUACAUGCUGAACAGAUUUGGUACGGAUGAUAAGCAGUUCAAGGAUAGAUUUAGCAGCGAUCUCGACACAACUACAAAAUCUUUUCCACUGACAAUCCAGGAUCUGCGUGUGUCAGACUCUGCUCUGUAUUACUGUGCUCUGAGGCCCACAGUCACAGGAAACACAAGAUCACUGUACAAAAACCUGAUACAGCUGAAUGUGUUCAACUAAUUUCUUUCCAUAAAUCCAUCUGAAUUAAAGGUAGCUUAUGAUUUUACUCUAUAACUAUAUGAGGGUGAAAACUAUCAGCAGUGGCAUGAUAGAUUAUGAAUUUUGUUUUAAAAUGAACUUAAUGCUAUUAAUGCAAUACAUACACACUGUGCUCUUAUGAUGUUCUGACUAACUGUUGUUUUAAAUACAAUUUAACUUGCUUUUUUUGUAU